CCGCAGACGGGACACAGAGCCUGCUUCAAAAAUUCUUUCGGACCCCGAUAGAGGGACCUGAAUUUACUCGCUUGCAUCAGUCUCUUCAGAGUGAGGGGGAUGCUUAAUGGGAUCUGUUUGGCCAAUGAUUACAUUUCUAAAGAUGAACUGCUACACACGCGAGCCGCUGCUGUUCUGUACAAUAGUCUAAUACCGGCCAAAGAGCGCCCAGAUGCCGCCUGGAUCAAAAGACUGUUCCAGGAAGCAGUUGAGGUGGAAUAUUCCUUUAUUGCUGCCAAGAGCAAGAACGUGACGCUGGUGGUUCCUGGUGAAAUUAAAAAGUUUUUACAAGCCACCUGUGAUAGAAUUUUGCAGAGUAUUGGGGUGGAGCCAAUCUAUGGCUCCCACGCCCCAGUCACGUGUCCUCUGAGCUACAACGGCUGCAUAAAAAGUGUUAACUUUUUUGAGAGGGAGGGAACUGAUUACUCAACCAAGGUGACUAAUGAUUUGUAAGCAGCGCAGUUUGGAAAGUGAUGUGUGUGCUCUCAUUCCACCCUAUUUAAGAGGGAGACAAACUCUGAGUUGUGCAUCUACUCUUUCUGCUUCUGAGAAGAGCAUUGUUUUAACCCUUUACAAUGCAGACCUUCCAGCUUGACACUGAGCGCCUCUGCCAGGCAGCUAAGCUGUACCAGCACACCAAGUCUGACUUUGGCCUGAAUGGCAUGAUCCAGCUUUCUGGUUCAUGUAAUAAUAUGUCACUAUCUGUACUGGGAUCGAUUGGAGGCUGUGCUAUUCUGAGAUUGGAAUUGUUGGAGGCUGCCCGGCUCCAUUCAUCUAAAGACAGCUCCAAGUCUGCCAUUUACAGCUUUCGUAACGCAAGCUCCCUUGGAAGAGAAUUUACUCAUGGUGGAGAACUCUUUGGCCCCAAAAUGGAAUCUGCCUCCCUGUCUUUUUAUGGCCAUCAUGGAGUGAAAUAUGUGGAGGCACAAUUUGUGCAUGACAGCAGCAGCAAGACUGUACAUACUGCUGCUAUGCAGCCCAUCACCAUACCACCUUCGUGUGCCUUUGAUGAUCGUGAGGCCAAUGGUAUAGUGACAUUGUCAACAAAAACUGCAGCGGCGCUGGUCAAGUGGUUGAAGCAGCAUACAAAAACCUGCCAGUCACCAGUUAAGGUUUCUAUCAGUGAAAUCUUGGGUGUGAUGGUUCUUUCAGUUGGAGAUGCUAGCAUGACUGUUGAUGUCACUCCGGUGAAUGUUUCAUCUGGCAAGAAGACACGGGGUGGGAAUAAGGCUAGUGACUCUGGGACUAUCUCUGCAGACGCAACGGUGCAUGUUAAUGGACAUUGUUUGAUUAGAUCUUUGAUUGUAUGUAAAGUUCCUGGGUGUACAACUCCAAGAGUCAAGUUUCACGCCUGUGGCAUAUUAGAGGUAGAUGGGGCCCCCGUUAAACAGGGCGAGUUGACACAGGUAAAAUUGUCAGUGGCCCUCCUGAACGUGGACUCUUCAACUGGCAGAGUUUUGAAGGAACCUGUGGUGACUGGAGCAAGUAAAGAUCGAGGGGCUUCAAAGUCAGAAGACGCGGACGGUAGCCCUCCAGUACCAGAUCAUCCCAAAGAAUCCCUCACUAGCGACUCUGAUUCCUCAGUUCCUGGGCCACGAAGUACUGACCUUUCCUCUCUUACCCACACCCCUUCAGAUAGAUUUUCGAGCGACCUUAGAUCAGGGUGUGGGGGGCAACAGUUCCUCAAGAGACCACCCCCUAAGAAAGACAGGGAACCCACCACUAAGCGCCCCAAGCUACAUUUUAACCACUUCCCAUAAAUGAAGAGUCAUUGGUCAGACGUGUUCCUCCCACUCAUUGUGGGAGGAAUGUCUGCUGUUCCCUUUAUCUGGUGUUUAAUUUUUAGAACCCUUUACCUACCAAUAGAAUGUGACUGGAGAUGCUGGAUUUUUGUAUAUGGAUCAAUGAUUUGGCACAUAACCAUGUUUAUGUCACUAUUGUUUAAACAUAAACAUGGGAUGAUUGGCUGGUUUAAGUUGUGUAGUGCAGUUGCCAUAUGUCUGAUUAUAGUUUUGGCUCUUUUAGAACAAUACUGCCCAUAUGAGAUGUACAUUGUUCCUGUUAUAUUCAUAAUAAAUAUAGUUUUGCUUUCCA
rnacentral:tmRNA from 1 species